rnacentral:rRNA from 1 species
AAAUGAAUAGACGGGGACCCGCACAAGCGGUGGAGCAUGUGGUUUAAUUCGAAGCAACGCGAAGAACCUUACCAAGUCUUGACAUCCCAUUGACAGCAUAUGUAAUGUAUGUUUCCUUCGGGACAAUGGUGACAGGUGGUGCAUGGUUGUCGUCAGCUCGUGUCGUGAGAUGUUGGGUUAAGUCCCGCAACGAGCGCAACCCUUAUCUUUAGUAGCCAGCAUUUCGGAUGGGCACUCUAGAGAGACUGCCAGGGAUAACCUGGAGGAAGGUGGGGAUGACGUCAAAUCAUCAUGCCCCUUAUGACUUGGGCUACACACGUGCUACAAUGGCGUAAACAAAGGGAAGCGAAGCCGUGAGGUGAAGCCAAUCCCAUAAAUAACGUCUCAGUUCGGAUUGUAGUCUGCAACUCGACUACAUGAAGCUGGAAUCGCUAGUAAUCGCAAAUCAGAAUGUUGCGGUGAAUACGUUCCCGGGUCUUGUACACACCGCCCGU